rnacentral:rRNA from 1 species
UACGAAGGGGGCUAGCGUUGUUCGGAAUUACUGGGCGUAAAGCGCGCGCAGGCGGUUCUUCAAGUCAGAGGUGAAAGCCCAGAGCUCAACUCCGGAAUGGCCUUUGAGACUAGAGAACUAGGGUACGGGAGAGGUGAGUGGAAUUCCGAGUGUAGAGGUGAAAUUCGUAGAUAUUCGGAAGAACACCAGUGGCGAAGGCGGCUCACUGGCCCGUUACCGACGCUCAGGCGCGACAGCGUGGGGAGCAAACAGG